rnacentral:lncRNA from 1 species
AAAUCACCGUAGACAAAAUUUAGAGUUGGUGCUGAAAAUUUAAGGUAAGGGGGAAACUACUUUGUAUAUUGGUGUAAUUUAUGAAGGGUAGAGCUUCAUCCUCCUCUAGAUUUUCCCUUAUUUUGUCAUUGUAGAUUAUGUGUGAAUUAUUGGUUGUGAAUACAUGUAUAUUCUAUUUUGAUUAAUAUUGUUGUGUGAAAUUCAUGUAUUGUAUUAUGUCAAAUUGAUGCAUGAUGAAAGCAUGUGAAAUCUGCAAAUUGUUGUUGUUAAUUAAUGUGUUUGAGUUUUCAAGAGUAUCCAUGAUAAAUUGGUGAAAUCAAUUGUGUAUCCAUGUGAAAUUAACAUGUCUAUGUGUUAUAAUUGGUGUAUGACUCGUUUCUAGUCGAAUUGAGUAUUCUGGAUGCGAAAUCUGAGCUUUGAUGGGACUUCAAUGGUGGAAAACCGUGUUUUCUAGGUUCUGGUCUGAGCGAUCUCGCCCAACGUGGAUGAACUUCGCCCAGUGAGCCAUGUCUCACCCGACGAGAUAUGUAGAGUGAGGGAUUCUAGGUUCUGGAAUAUGCGCCCAGCGAGGGAAGAACUUAUCUAGGGAGUGGUCGCCCAACGAGCUGUAGGUCUCCUGGCGAGGGUGACAACGCAAAAUUAAGUUGUUUUGGAUUAGAUUGUGUGACAGUGUGUUGUUUUAGCGAUUAAUGGAUAUUGUCAUGUAUUGUUUGCGAUUAUGUGUUUCUGUUUGAUGAGAAUCAAUGCAUUUUAUUGAAUUGAUAAUGAUUAUGCAUGAAAAGAUUGAGUGUUAUGUGGAUGUUUAUUUGAUGUGUGAAUAUAUGUUGUGAAUUGCAAGUAUAAUUGUGUGGAGUGUUGUAAGUACUUGCUGAUGAUUGUUGUAAUUUGUAGUUCGGAGUUAGAACCACUGUUGAUGUGUUUAAAUGCAUGAUUGGUUACAGUUAGAUGUGGGACUGUAAUCAUUGUUGUGUUGUUGUCGUUGCAUUAUCAUGUCAUACAUCAUAUGUUGUCGUUGUUGUGAAAGAAACGAGUCACGAGUUCAGAUGAGGGGACGAGUGACUUGUUCGGAUCUCAGAUGAGGGAGCUUGGAGUUAAGAUGUUGGGACCCGGACCGUAUGAAGAACCGUCGUUGAUUGGUACCACAUGCUUAGUAUCGAUGUCGUGAGUCACAUUGCAUGCAUAUGUAUAUAUAUUAUGAUAGAGAAUGUGUGAAAUUGUAAUGGUGUGGAUGUGUUUUGAAUGCAUGAUGUGUUGUGUGUUUAUCUACCCUCGCAUUCUUUACGCCGUUUUGUAUUGAAAUUUAUUCUCUCCUUUUUUGUUUUAUGUUGUCCACCAUGGACAUCUUGCAGAUAAUCAAUAGUAGAGUUUUGCUGUUGUGAGUGGAAGAUAGUUUCUUGGAGCUUACUUUCAUUUACUAUAUCGUUUAUCAUUUUUAGUUGGUUAAAUACUCUAAUUUGUAACAUCGGGAACGAGACGUUUUAUUUUAUUUUGUUGUUGAGUUAAUCAUUGGAUGAUGAUAUUUUGAUUUAGCCUUUAUAGUUGUUGAGAUAUUUGAAGUUAUGAACAUUAAUUUGAAAUUUCGUUGCG